rnacentral:rRNA from 1 species
UAAUUGAAGGCUGGAAUGAAUGGUUUGACAAGAAUAUACCUGUCUCCUUUAGAUUAUUUAGAAUUUUAUUUUUGGGUGGAAAGUCCAAUUUAAUUAAUAGACAAGAAGACCCUAUCGAGCUUCAGAAAAAUUGAUAGAUUUAAGGUUAAUCAAUAUACUUAAAAGAAGAGCUAUUAAACACUUUGGUUGGGGCAACUGAGGAGUAGUCAAAGCUUCCUCUAAUUUAUUAAUUCUUACUAGUGUUGAUCCAAAGGUUUUGAUCAAAGGAAUUAGUUACCGUAGGGAUAACAGCAUUAUCUUUUUCAAGAGCCCAUAUCGAAAAAAAGGUUUGUGACCUCGAUGUUGGACCAGAAUAUCCUAA